UUUUUACUCGACUAUUUUAAUCCUUUAUUUUAAUAUUUAAGUUUUUAGUUUAUUUAAUUUAAAUAAUUUAAUAACUUUUUAAAUAUAAAAUUUAAAUAAAAAUUUUAUUUUAUUAAUUUAUAAUUAUAUAAAUGGUAUAAAAUAUACUAACUAAUCAUAGAGAUAAACGUCAUAUUUAUAUUUUAAAACUAAAAAUUUAAAUCUGCAUAUGAAAAAUCUAUAUUUUUUAAAUAGAAAAUGUAAAGACUAGUGGGUACACACUGAUAUGAAAAAUCUGUAUCCCACUAAAAGUUAAAAUUUUCGUCUGCCUAGUAUUGAAGUGUAAGAUACUCACUUUAACAAUCUUCGUAAAAAGAGGUUGGAGUUGAAGCAUAACUAUAUACUUUGCUUAGAUAAGGAAGAGACGAUUGACCAUAUUUUCACCGGUUGUGAAGUAACCAAAGUUUUAUUGGAGUGCUUGAUGUCCAAUAAGAAGGGAAUACGUUGUAGUUCUUUAGCUUA
rnacentral:lncRNA from 1 species